rnacentral:rRNA from 1 species
UACGAAGGGGGCUAGCGUUGCUCGGAAUGACUGGGCGUAAAGGGCGCGUAGGCGGAUGGCUUUGUCGGGCGUGAAAUUCCAGGGCUUAACCUUGGGGCUGCGUUCGAGACGGGUUGUCUUGAGUGGGGAAGAGGGUCGUGGAAUUCCCAGUGUAGAGGUGAAAUUCGUAGAUAUUGGGAAGAACACCGGUGGCGAAGGCGGCGACCUGGUCCUUUUACUGACGCUGAGGCGCGGAAAGACGUGGGGAGCAAACAGG